ACUCCUACGGGAGGCAGCAGUAGGGAAUCUUCCACAAUGGGCGCAAGCCUGAUGGAGCAACACCGCGUGAGUGAAGAAGGGUUUCGGCUCGUAGAGCUCUGUUGUUAAAGAAGAACACGUAUGAGAGUAACUGUUCAUACGUUGACGGUAUUUAACCAGAAAGUCACGGCUAACUACGUGCCAGCAGCCGCGGUAAUACGUAGGUGGCAAGCGUUAUCCGGAUUUAUUGGGCGUAAAGAGAGUGCAGGCGGUUUUCUAAGUCUGAUGUGAAAGCCUUCGGCUUAACCGGAGAAGUGCAUCGGAAACUGGAUAACUUGAGUGCAGAAGAGGGUAGUGGAACUCCAUGUGUAGCGGUGGAAUGCGUAGAUAUAUGGAAGAACACCAGUGGCGAAGGCGGCUACCUGGUCUGCAACUGACGCUGAGACUCGAAAGCAUGGGUAGCGAACAGGAUUAGAUACCCUGGUAGGAUAGCG
rnacentral:rRNA from 1 species